rnacentral:rRNA from 1 species
UGGGGAAUAUUGCACAAUGGGGGAAACCCUGAUGCAGCCAUGCCGUGUGUGUGAAGAAGGCCUUCGGGUUGUAAAGCACUUUCAGUAGGGAGGAAAGGGUAAGGUUUAAUACGCCUUAUCUGUGACGUUACCUACAGAAGAAGGACCGGCUAACUCCGUGCCAGCAGCCGCGGUAAUACGGAGGGUCCGAGCGUUAAUCGGAAUUACUGGGCGUAAAGCGUGCGCAGGCGGUUUGUUAAGCGAGAUGUGAAAGCCCUGGGCUCAACCUAGGAAUAGCAUUUCGAACUGGCGAACUAGAGUCUUGUAGAGGGGGGUAGAAUUCCAGGUGUAGCGGUGAAAUGCGUAGAGAUCUGGAGGAAUACCGAUGGCGAAGGCAGCCAUCUGGCCUAAUACUGACGCUGAGGUACGAAAGCAUGGGGAGCAAACAG